CUGGAGAAUUAGUACAAACCGUCAUUCAGUUUGAAGGGGCUGAAGACACUUCAGGAACCACAUUAGUUACAAUCUUCUCCAAAGACAUACUAAAUUCCUUCAAUACACUGAAGUUGAAGAGAAGACUCAAACUAUGAUUCCAUGAGCGGAGAGGUUUGUGUCUACUGUAAAUGCCUUUGGCACCCACGUGAUGUUCUUGCCACAUGUCCAAAAAUUAUAUGGUCACCAGUCAUGGACCAGAAUCUCUCAAAUGGGUCCUGUGAGUGAUGCUGAUGAUGCCUACAUGCAGAAAGGUCUUUCUUCCUCACAGAGACCCCUCUGCAAAUAUCUUGAGAAAUAUGACAGGAGAUGUAUUUGUUUUAUCUUUCUAAUUUAGUCAAAUUGAACUCACUAUAAAUAUGAGGAGGGA